GACGAACGCUGGCGGCGUGCUUAACACAUGCAAGUCGAACGGAAAGGCCCUGCUCUUGUGGUGUGCUCGAGUGGCGAACGGGUGAGUAACACGUGUGUAACCUGCCCUUGACUUUGGGGUAACUUUAGGAAACUGGGGCGAAUACCGGAUAGGAGCUCAGGCUGCAUGUUGGGGGUAGGAAAGUUUCGGCGGUUGGGGAUGGACUCGUGGCUUAGCAGCUUGUUGGUGGGGUAGUGGCUUACCAAGGCUUCGACGGGUAGCCGGCCUGAGAGGGUGACCGGCCACAUUGGGACUGAGAUACGGCCCAGACUCCUACGGGAGGCAGCAGUGGGGAAUAGUGCACAAUGGGCGGAAGCCUGAUGCAGCAACGCCGCGUGCGGGAUGACGGCCUUCGGGUUGUAAACCGCUUUCGCCUGUGACGAAGCGUGAGUGACGGUAAUGGGUAAAGAAGCACCGGCUAACUACGUG
rnacentral:rRNA from 1 species